rnacentral:rRNA from 1 species
GACGAACGNNNGGCGGCGUGCCUANUACAUGCAAGUAGAACGCUGAAGGAGGAGCUUGCUUCUCCGGAUGAGUUGCGAACGGGUGAGUAACGCGUAGGUAACCUGCCUGGUAGCGGGGGAUAACUAUUGGAAACGAUAGCUAAUACCGCAUAACAGUAGAUAUUGCAUGAUAUCUGCUUGAAAGGUGCAAAUGCAUCACUACCAGAUGGACCUGCGUUGUAUUAGCUAGUUGGUGAGGUAACGGCUCACCAAGGCGACGAUACAUAGCCGACCUGAGAGGGUGAUCGGCCACACUGGGACUGAGACACGGCCCAGACUCCUACGGGAGGCAGCAGUAGGGAAUCUUCGGCAAUGGACGGAAGUCUGACCGAGCAACGCCGCGUGAGUGAAGAAGGUUUUCGGAUCGUAAAGCUCUGUUGUAAGAGAAGAACGAGUGUGAGAGUGGAAAGUUCACACUGUGACGGUAUCUUACCAGAAAGGGACGGCUAACUACGUGCCAGCAGCCGCGGUAAUACGUAGGUCCCGAGCGUUGUCCGGAUUUAUUGGGCGUAAAGCGAGCGCAGGCGGUUAGAUAAGUCUGAAGUUAAAGGCUGUGGCUUAACCAUAGUACGCUUUGGAAACUGUUUAACUUGAGUGCAAGAGGGGAGAGUGGAAUUCCAUGUGUAGCGGUGAAAUGCGUAGAUAUAUGGAGGAACACCGGUGGCGAAAGCGGCUCUCUGGCUUGUAACUGACGCUGAGGCNNGAAAGCGUGGGGAGCAAACAGG